rnacentral:rRNA from 1 species
GACGACGCUGGCGGCGUGCCUAAUACAUGCAAGUCGAACGAGUGGCGGACGGGUGAGUAAUGUCUGGGAAACUGCCUGAUGGAGGGGGAUAACUACUGGAAACGGUAGCUAAUACCGCAUACCAUCGGAUGUGCCCAGAUGGGAUUAGCUAGUGGGUGGGGCAAAGGCUCACCUCGGCGACGAUCCCUAGCUGUUCUGAGAGGAUGACCAGCCACACUGAGACUGGGACACGGUCCAGACUCCUACGGGAGGCAGCAGUGGGGAAUAUUGCACAAUGGGCGCAAGCCUGAUGCAGCCAUGCCGCGUGUAUGAAGAAGGCCUUCGGGUUGUAAAGUACUUUCAGCGGGGAGGCGUUACCCGCAGAAGAAGCACCGGCUAACUCCGUGCCAGCAGCCGCGGUAAUAC